UAAAACCAGCACCUCGAGUGGUCAGGACGAUUAUUGGGCCUAAAGCAUCCGUAGCUGGUUUUGCAAGUCUCCGGUUAAAUCCACCUGCUUAACAGAUGGGCCGCUGGAGAUACUACAAGACUAGGGAGUGGGAGAGGCAGACGGUAUUCGGGGGGUAGGGGUAAAAUCCUCUGAUCCUUUGAGGACCACCAGUGGCGAAGGCGG
rnacentral:rRNA from 1 species